AUAAUUUCUUUAGCAUAAAUAUGUCUUGUGCUAUGCUUAGUUUGGGACAUACUUAUGCUAAAAAAUUAUUCUUUAUCUGAAAUUCAGAAUUAA
rnacentral:miRNA from 1 species